GACGAACGCUGGCGGCGUGCUUAACACAUGCAAGUCGUACGGUAAGGCCCUUUCGGGGGUACACGAGUGGUGAACGGGGGCGUAACACGAGCGUAACCUUCCCACACCUUUGGGACAAGGCUAGCAAACUGGAGCCAAUACUGGAACUGUGCUAUUUCUGCAUGGUGGGGGUUGAAAAGUUCCGGCUGUUGUUGGUGGACUUGCGGGCUAUCUGCUUGUUGGUGGGGUAGGGGCCUACCGAGGCGGCGGCGGGUAGCCGGCCUGUGUGGGUGACCGGCCACAUUGGGUCUGAGAGACGGCCCAGGCUCCUACGGGAGGCAGCAGUGGGGAAUAUUGCACAAUGGGCGCAAGCCUGAUGCAGCAACGCCGCGUGCGGGAUGACGGCCUUCGGGUUGUAAACCGCUUUCAGCAGGGACGAAGCUUUUUGUGACGGUACCUGCAGAAGAAGCACCGGCUAACUACGUG
rnacentral:rRNA from 1 species